CAGGAAGCGACGGCGAAGAAGGGCAAAGGGAGGUGUACAAAGGAAUAGGACAGUGAUAUGAGUGACCAGGAAGCGACGGCGAAGAAGGGCAAAGGGAAUGGACAGUGAGAUGAGUGACCAGGUAAAUGAUAAAGUAAUUAUGCCAAUGUUUUAAUUCAAUUCAUAAAGAUCCCAGUUCUGUGUUGAAUUUGCAAUUAUAAACACUCGAUUGUAUUGUACAUAUGUCCCGGCAAGAAAUCUGCGUUCAAAGAACUCCGGCUUAUUAUUGAUACCCAGAGCCCAAAAAAAGUCUGCGGGCUAUAGAGCGUUUUCUAUUCAGGCUCCAGUACUAUGGAAUGCCCUCCCGGUAACAAUUAGAGAUGCUACCUCAGUAGAAGCAUUUAAGUCCCAUCUUAAAACUCAUUUGUAUACUCUAGCCUUUAAAUAGACCCCCCUUUUAGACCAGUUGAUCUGCCGUUUCUUUUUUCUCCUCUGCUCCCCUCUUCCUUGUGGAGGGGGGGGGGGGCACAGGUCCAGUGGCCAUGGAUGAAGUGCUGGCUGUCCAGAGUCGGGACCCGUGGUGGACCGCUUGCCUGUGCAUCGGCUGGGAACAUCUCUGCGCUGCUGACCCGUCUCCGCUCGGGAUGUGUACAAAGGAAUAGGACAGUGAUAUGAGUGACCAGGAAGCGACGGCGAAGAAGGGCAAAGGGAGGUGUACAAAGGAAUAGGACAGUGAUAUGAGUGACCAGGAAGCGACGGCGAAGAAGGGCAAAGGGAAUGGACAGUGAGAUGAGUGACCAGGAAGUGAAGAAGAAGAAAACAGGGAAAGGGAAAAGAACCAAGCAAACGCCAGUGAGACCAGUGAGCAUUGAGCAGGAAGAGAACCAACAAGAAGGGGCAGGAGUACACUGACGCGCACGACCAAGACCACAGCAUUCCAUUUCUAUUGUAUUAUAAUUAUCACUAAUAAAGAAUUAUUGUUGAA